CCUGGCUGAAGCUGGUACCAUGAUGGAUUUGCAGCUGCUGUUAGAGAUGCCACUCAAGGCAGAGGUUCCAGAGGAGGAGUCAAAGCGGCUGUAAUCUUGAUUCAGUUUUAUGGGCAAUAGAAUUAUUUUACUGAUUCCUGGAAUCAUGGCUCCUAUACAUCUGCUCUCUAUGAGCACUUUGGAAAUUAAAGGAUUGCCAGCUUUUCCACUUUGGGACAAAAAACAUUUGUGCUAAACAGCCGAUCAUGUCAUCUAUGAACAAAAAGUUUUAUGUCUAUAUUCCUAAUCUGUACACCUUUUUAAAGAAGUUUUCCUGAGAAAAGCA
rnacentral:lncRNA from 1 species